CUGUCAGCGGAGGCAGCGGGCGGAGAAGGAGGAGGCGGCGGUGGCGCGGCGGGAUGGAGGGGCUCAUCCCGCUCGUCAACCGGCUGCAGGACGCCUUCGCGGCGCUGGGCCAGAGCUGCCUGCUCGACCUGCCGCAGAUCGCGGUGGUGGGCGGGCAGAGCGCCGGCAAGAGCUCCGUGCUGGAGAACUGCGUUUCCAGGGAUUUUCUUCCACGAGGUUCUGGAAUUGUAACAAGACGACCGUUGGUCUUGCAGCUUGUCACUGCCAAAACAGAGUAUGCUGAAUUUCUACACUGCAAAGGAAGGAAGUUUACCGAUUUUGAUGAAGUUCGUCAGGAAAUUGAAGUAGAAACAGAUAGAAUAACAGGAGUGAACAAAGGGAUUUCUUCAAUUCCUAUUAAUUUAAGAAUAUAUUCUCCACAUGUACUAAGCCUGACUCUUAUUGACUUGCCGGGAAUCACUAAAGUGCCAGUAGGGGAUCAGCCUCCUGAUAUCGAGCAACAGAUAAGAGACAUGAUAAUGCAGUUCAUCUCUCGAGAAAACUGUUUGAUAUUGGCUGUGACUCCAGCUAACACUGAUCUGGCCAACUCAGAUGCUCUGAAGUUAGCUAAAGAAGUAGACCCUCAAGGCCUUAGGACCAUUGGUGUGAUCACAAAAUUGGAUCUGAUGGAUGAAGGAACAGAUGCAAGAGACGUUCUAGAAAAUAAACUACUCCCUCUUCGUAGAGGUUAUAUUGGUGUUGUGAACAGAAGCCAGAAGGACAUUGAUGGGAAGAAAGACAUAAAGGCAGCUCUCUUAGCAGAAAGGAAAUUCUUUCUUUCCCACCCAGCAUACAGGCACAUGGCAGAUCGGAUGGGAACACCGUAUCUUCAGAAAGUUCUAAACCAGCAACUUACCAAUCAUAUUCGGGAUACCCUGCCAGCUUUCAGGAGCAAACUCCAGAGCCAGCUGCUUUCUAUAGAACAUGAAGUAGAGGUAUACAAAAACUUCAGACCAGAAGAUCCAACGAGAAAAACGAAGGCUUUGUUGCAGAUGGUACAGCAGUUUUCAGUGGACUUUGAAAAAAGAAUCGAAGGAUCGGGCGAUCAGGUCGAUACACUAGAACUUUCAGGUGGUGCCAAAAUCAAUCGUAUUUUCCAUGAACGUUUCCCUUUUGAACUAGUGAAGAUGGAGUUCAAUGAGAAAGAGCUGCGGAGAGAAAUAAGUUAUGCAAUCAAGAACAUACAUGGUAUCAGAACAGGUUUAUUUACUCCAGAUAUGGCAUUUGAAGCUAUUGUUAAAAAGCAAAUAGUCAAGCUGAAAGGACCUUGCUUAAAAAGUGUGGAUCUGGUGAUGCAAGAGUUAAUCAACACUGUCAAGAAGUGCACUAAAAAGUUGGCAACCUAUCCAAGAUUGUGUGAGGAAACAGAAAGAAUUGUUGCUGGCUACAUUCGUGAAAGAGAAGAAAAGACCAAGGAUCAGGUGCUGCUGCUGAUUGAUAUCCAGGUUUCUUACAUCAACACCAACCACGAAGACUUCAUUGGCUUCGCAAAUGCCCAACAAAGAAGCAGUCAGGUUAACAAAAGUGCAGUGGGAAAUCAGGGAACCAAUCUACCGCCUUCAAGGCAAAUUGUCAUCCGGAAGGGCUGGCUGACAAUCAACAAUAUUGGCAUCAUGAAAGGAGGAUCCAAGGAAUACUGGUUCGUUCUAACUGCAGAAAGCCUGUCCUGGUAUAAAGACGAUGAGGAAAAAGAGAAGAAGUAUAUGCUUCCUCUGGACAACUUGAAAGUGCGUGAUGUUGAAAAGAGCUUCAUGUCUAGCAAACAUAUCUUUGCAUUGUUUAACACGGAGCAGAGGAAUGUUUACAAGGAUUACCGUUUCCUUGAACUAGCCUGUGACUCCCAAGAGGAGGUGGAUAGCUGGAAGGCAUCUCUGCUACGAGCCGGUGUCUAUCCUGAUAAAUCCUCAACUGAAAAUGAUGAGAAUGGCCAAGCGGACAAUUUUUCAAUGGACCCCCAAUUGGAGAGACAGGUGGAGACAAUUCGAAAUCUGGUGGACUCCUACAUGUCUAUUAUCAACAAAUGUAUCCGAGAUUUGAUACCGAAAACAAUCAUGCACCUUAUGAUCAAUAAUGUAAAAGAAUUUAUCAACGCUGAGCUCCUGGCUCACUUGUAUUCUUCUGAGGACCAAAAUACUCUAAUGGAGGAAUCAGCUGAACAGGCACAGAGGCGAGAUGAAAUGCUCCGCAUGUACCAAGCUCUAAAGGAAGCCCUAGCAAUCAUUGGUGACAUUAGCACUAGCACUGUGUCAACCCCUGCACCACCUCCUGUAGAUGAUUCUUGGCUUCAGCAGGCCCGCAGAUCACCUCCUCCAAGUCCCUCAACUCAGAGGAGGCCUACAUUAAAUAAUCCCCCAACCAGACCUUUAUCUGGCCGAGGACCUGCUCCUGCAAUCCCAUCUCCAGGCCCUCACUCAGGGGCUCCCCCGGUCCCGUUCCGCCCAGGACCAUUGCCACCAUUUCCAAGUGGUGGUGAAGCCCAUGGAGGACCUCCCCAAGUUCCUUCUCGGCCGACGCGGGCUCCUCCCAGUGUCCCAAGCUUUGACCCAUUUUCCUCGUGCUGUACAGUGCCUGGAAUGUGUUUGUUUGUCCUGCUGGCUCCUGAUUCUGGCGACCUCCUCCAGCCGUUCCAGGAAGAUCAGCCUAACACACACUUUGUUAUUGUUGUUACAUGCAAUCUGUCUUCUUUUUGUCCAAAUUUAUCUUUAAUUUGCACUAGUCUAUUUGUAAAUGAAAGAUUUUAUUUUCAGAUGUCAGUGAUAAGCUUGGAUAUAAAGAAAAUAAAAUUCUGGCUACAAAAUGAAUGUGUGCUGGUUUUCAAUGGAAGGGUCUAUCCACUCUUUCUCAAAAGGAGCCAUUAGUGCUCCGUGAAAGCCUAGGCUCUGGGGAGACUCCCCACGUCCAAGGAGUUGGAGGGAGGGAUGUGCUGCUGGGAUUCCAUCACCGUGUCUGAAUUCAUUGACCACCAGGACUGUUCUUGCAAAUGCCUUCGACUUAGCAUUAGCAGGAAGAACUUCCAACUUUUUGAACAACAGAGGGUGCAGAAGGCUCCUAUAAGAUGUCUAAUGCACCAGCAGCAUCUGACUCUGUGCUGAGUGGAAAACCUCAGAAGAUUGCAGCAGUCUCUCCACUGAUGAAUCUGCACAAUUGUAAACACAUUGCAGCUGCUCUGACCGCUUUUUUCAAGCUACCUCUGGAUUUCAAGUAAGUCUGACCCUGCGGUGUUGAGUGAAAGAUAAAAUCUGGAACUUAAUGUUCAGAAGAUGUGCUUGUCUUGGGUACUAGAGAAGCAUAUAAAGAAUAAGUCUUAAAAAAAAAAGUUUAAAUUGAUGAUUUUAUUGAUUUUUUUUUCUCAUGUGAAAACAAUGAAGGGAUAUCUCACAAGCCAUACUGAUAAGUCAGAGGGAACUGCACAGACAUGAACUGGAGGUACAAUGCAGCAUCAGGAUUCCAGCCUGUUCUUUGAAAGGUACAAACAAAACAUUUCUUUGUAGUAAAGGCUGCAGUAAGAGCAAGUUGCUACAGUGCUGCUCUGUGGGCAGAAGAGCAGAGGAGAUCUGUAUCAUGUGUAGAAGGGGCCUGACAACACACAGGCUGUGCUCAGUUUCAAGCCAGGUCUGACAUAGCUUUGCUUAGUUAGGGCUGAUUUAGGUCUUUGCUGAGAUCUCCUGUAUGCAUUAAGGUGCAGCCCUGUUUACAUGUGCUGGCAAAUGCCUGACUCAGUCAGUUUGCUCAAAUGAUAAGGGGUGCAAGCCCAGAGAGCUGUGGACUUGUACAAAUUUCUGUUUUCAUCUCCCUUAGACUUUGUCUUUUGAUAGAGUUUAGCAGAAAGAUAUCCAACAAAGAUAGCAGCAGAAGGGAAGAAAAAAACCCACAAACUCCACCAACUCUUAGGGCAGAAAGAAAAGCAGUAGUUCCUGCUAGACCUUUGAAUUGUACGUGCUCAACGAGGAAUUGCAGGAGCUGGAAAAAGUACAGUGAUGGGCAAUGUGCUUCCAGCACCUGGGAAAAAGGAGAAAUGGACGAUCCUAAUGGUUUUGUAAACAUUACUGUCCCAAAAGCCAGGGACAAGGAGUGGAGCUUGGACUGGCUUACCUUGCUGCAUCUCUCAUCAAUGGAAAUUGCUGUCAUCAAACAGAAGCAAAAAAGCCCUCAGCAGAGUUCAGGAGUACAGAAGAAGUGGCAUUUGUACCCAGUGGGCUGUUCAAGAGGCAGGAGGUUCUGGCCUUGCUUCAUCUCCCAGGUAGGAGGGAAUGGGACCAGACUGAAUUUCACAAGCUGUUUUUUUUUUCCUUAGUUGUUGAAGAAUUUGUUCUGCCCUGGGGGCAGCUCUCACUGCUUUACCUCUGCAGUAUGGCAAGGUACUGAGAGAGAAACAGAUAGAAAGUGGCUGAUAUUUCAGUUCUGCGGCCUUAUUAUCUAGUGCACCCCAGAACCUGCUGCUGCCUUCCUGUCUGCCAGCCAGCCUCAAUGCUGUAAGGCACAAAGUUCUCUUUUGGGGGCAUUUUAUAGUGUUAAGUCUUUCACAUAAAUGUUUAUCUUCUUCAGGAGUAUUUGAUAAAAAAUGUUAUUGGAGAUGGGACUCUGAACUUCAUGGUUUUCAGGCAGCUCUUCUUAAAAUCUCCUAGGUAGCAGAAGGCAUCGGUGGUGAGUCCAGGAGCUUUUGUGCUGGAGAACUUUGGCACAUGCUUUGGCAUCAGCUCAUGGGAUGACUUUCUGAAGAAGCAGCUUAACCCUGUGCUGUUUCCAUUCUGCACUGGUGUAUGUUCUGAGGGUAGGUGGUGAAGGUGGAGUGUGCUGUACCCCAGCUGGUGGCAUUAUGCACCCUGGGUUGCUUCUCAAAGGAUGACUUCAGACCAAAACCCAGUUCUGGUUUCCUGCUCACUCUGAUUGUUGCUGUGGCCUCUCACAGCAUGAACCUAUGUGACGUGCAGAGAAAAGCCUAGUGAUUAGUGUGGGAACUGAAGAUAAAAAGAUCUUACCUUCAAAGACUAAAGCUUCACUGUUUCCAGGCUUCCCAGAUGCUGUCCUCCCACGUGGAGGAGGGACAGAGACCCCUGAGAGCCCGUUGUGGCUGCUGUGGGUGGCAGAUGCUCGCCUUUCCCUGCUGCAGAUGCUGUAGAUGGAGAUUCCAGACGGCACGUGUCAGCGACUCCCCCAGGAGCAGGGCUUAGCCCUGGCCAGUGUACAGUUACUUGCACUUGGGCCAGAUUCAAAUCAAAAGAAAAUGUCCCACUGAGAUACUGUAUCUCAGUGGACUUGGGAAUGGCAACUUAAGAAACUGCACGUUCUUGUAGUGCAAAAUAAUGUUUAACUCUUCAGAGUUGGUUGAAGGUGAUCCAGUCACAUGCAAACCAAGAUGGACCUAUUUCUUUGCUUGGUCUCAUCAUAGGCACCAGGCAAGCCAGAGAACUGUACACUCAGGUAGCAAGUGCUUAAAGGGCAUUCAGUUAUACUGAUGAGUUGAACACCUUAGGCAUAAAGACAUAUUCACUGUAGCCAUUUAUUCCAGCAGUGUUGCAGAGUGUGCAGUGCUGAAGGAGCUGGGCAGAGAGGCUUGUGGCAACUUAAGAUGGAACUGCUUGUGGUAAGCUGUACAGGAUAAAUCCUGCACCCUGCCUGGAGCAAGGAAGAUGUGGUGUGCUGGAUCAAACAAAAUCCAGGGAUCUGGCCCAAAUUCAAGUAAUUUUAAACUGCCAGAGAUAAGCCCAUUGGGUUUCAGCUGUGGUUGAGGUGACUGGCACAGACACUCAUGCCACAGCUGGCUUCCACUUACCCAACAGGUCUCCAUCAGCUUGAGGCACUGUCUUCUCCUCUUGGACAUGACCAUUCCACAUCAGAGCAAGGAACCUGAAUGUUCCAGCACGUGCUGGAUUGCCAUGCACCAAGCAGCACUGAGACAGCAGCUCCAGACAAGCAGAGAGCACCAGUGAAGCCUUUCCCCAGGUGCUGCCAUCCCACGGCCUGGGGAUUUGAGAGUUUCAAAGAAGCUUUGCUGCAACGUGGCAGAAGAAAGCUGUGCCAGGGGGUGGACACGGUGGGACGGGGGCGAUGGGAACCCCCUGCCCGCCCAUCCUGCGCUGAUGCUGCUUUCUGCUCACGUUCCAGGCUCUUGGCUCACCACCCCACUGCUGCCUGCAGCUGCGUCACAGCGGGCUUGGGUGCUUUCUCCUGGGACUCCCUCCCUAGGAAACUGUCUCCAAGAAUGAUGCCAAGGAUGCGCUCUGCCAGCUGCAGGUUCGGCAGCUCUGUGUGAGAGGCCGAGUGUCAGCUGCCCAAGUAACCUCAGCUCAACCUGCACUGUAUGUGGCACAUCCAUAGGGAAAAGAGACCUUGGGGUGUGGGGCUAAACCUGUCUGCAGGAGCUGUGUGUGGGUUAUCACUGAGGUUGGGGGUGAAAAAAGCCAGAGGUGUGGGAGCAAGGGGGUCUCAGGUUCCCAACCCUAGACAGAGCAGAGCUGGGGCUCCUGGAUAUAGUUUUUUGGGGGGUUGUUUCUGACUGCAUUCCUCUUCGUUUUGCCCUGAAGUGUGGGGAUGGGAUUUGAGGUGCUGAUCCAGCUCUGCCGUGAUCACCUCUGCCCCUCUCCUGCCCCAAGUGAGUGUGCAUCAGGCCUUCAGGAGCUGUGGGACCAUGCCACAGUCUACCUGUGCCAGACAUCGAGGCUCUAGAUCAGGGCCGGCUAACCAGAGAUGAAAGCAAUCACUCUCCCACACAGGGUCACGCAGUCCCAGCUGAACAUUGCUGAUUGCAGUCCCCUCCCUGUCUGCCUGGGAGCGCUUCCCACCACCCUCAGUGUGGCCGCACACCCAGAUGAGGGUCAUCUCUUCCCUGCAAAGCAGAAACAGUACAAAAGCAUGCAGAUGUCGGGGGCUGCGUGGGGACAGAUGUAACUGUGGGGACAGGUCUGUGUUCAGAGUGAGGGAAUGGCUCAUUGCCCCAUCGCGGGGUAACAACCUGUGAGCAUCCUUUAGGAUCAAAUAGGACCACCCCGGGAAGCCACUGGUCUCAAGUCAUGGUGGUCAGGCAGGGUCCCUGUGGAUGGUGCAGGGGCUGAGGAGAUGAAACAGGCGAUAUCCAGCAGCGCUCAGUCCUGCCCUGCAUUAAGCAAACAUAACAAGAUUCUGCACAGAGCAUGCCUCUCAGUGACCCUACCUCGCUGUAUCUGCCAUUUAAUCAGGGUCACUGUGACUGCUGUCUCACAUCCAGGAGUCUGUCAGCCCAGCAGCACAGCGUGCCAUGCUACAAGCUUGAAGCAAUGCAGAGGACAGCUGUGGGAAAUCAGCAUGCAUGCACAUUCAGGAUCGCAUCAGAACACAGAACUGGAGCUACUGAUGGCCAUGGAGCCCCGUGCAUGGUGACAUCUGCCUAACAAAAGCCCUAUAUCUCAAGGUGAAACAGCAGUUAUCAGCUGUGCUGGAGGCAGUGUUUCUCUUGUUUGGCUCUGCAAGGAAAAAGAUUCCAACUCCACUUCUUCCACGGCUCAUUCCCCCUCAUUGUGAGCCCUGGAAGUUUUUGGCUACUCAGAUAUUUGAGGAUUGUUUUUAAAAGUUUUUACACUGUUUUGCUGGAUUCUCCCCUGACAGGGGUAACGGUUCAGCUGAAGUUAGAGGAAGUUAUCUGAAGCAAUCUUGCAAUUUA